rnacentral:lncRNA from 1 species
CCACUCCUUCAUAGGAGUGCGGCCGAAGCCCCCACUAUUCAGUGGGAGCGCAUCCGAAGGCCCCUACUUCUCAAUGGGAGAGUCAGUGAAGCCCUUACUCUUCAAUGGAAGAGCAGCUGAAGCCCUCACUCUUUGGUGGGAGAACAGGUAAAGCCUCCACUUCUCUAUGGAUGUGUGGCCGAAGACCUCACUACCUUCACUCUUUCGUGGGAGAACAGGUAAAGCCUCCACUCCUUUAUGGAUGUGUGGCCGAAGACCUCACCUUUUAGUGAGGGCCAA